CGGGGUGUAGCGCAGCCUGGUAGCGCACCUGAAUGGGGUUCAGGUGGUCGCCGGUUCGAAUCCGGCCACCCCGACCA
rnacentral:tRNA from 1 species